GGGAAAUUAUAUUAUUUUAUACUAAUAAAAUUGUUGGGUUCUUUUAUGCUUAUGCAUUCUAAUUUCGACGCCAAACCCACAACUGGUGUGUGCGUGGCCAAAGAGGUCUAUCUUCACUGGUGUGCGUGGCCAAAGAGGUCUAUCUUCACUGGUGUACGUGGCCAAAGAGGUCUAUCUUCACUGGUGUACGUGGCCAAAGAGGUCUAUCUUCAUGGCACCAUUUCCAAUCCAAGUGACAAAGCUGUUUAGCAAAUUCUAAACGUUUACAUUUGUUGGAUGACAUGAAAAUUGAGCUCUUUGACGACGCACAUCAG
ensembl:lncRNA